AAACGACUCUCGGCAACGGAUAUCCCGGCUCUCGCAUCGAUGAAGAACGNNNNGAAAUGCGAUACUUGGUGUGAAUUGCAGAAUCCCGUGAACCAUCGAGUCUUUGAACGCAAGUUGCGCCCGAGGCCAAUAGGCUAAGGGCACGUCUGCCUGGGUGUCACGC
rnacentral:rRNA from 1 species